UUUCGAAAUUCUGAGUUAAAAAAAUCUUGAUUCCGAAAUAUUCGGAAAUAAAAGCAAACAAAAAAGCAAUUUUCAUUGCUCAUAAUGGUCAUUUUACCGUAUUUACAUUGUUUACCGUGUAAACAAGAUUGUUUCAUAUUACGUAUACGAUACCAAAUGCAUCGUGACCGGUUGCUCGUCCACCAAGUCCAGGGUUUUUUCUCUGGCACGUGAUGAAGCAUUGCAGGCUCUAAGGAUACAGUAACUCCUGCUUGCAAAUCCUUUAUCAGGAACUAUGACAAAGGAGCAACUUCGUCAAAGAAAGGUCUGCCAAUCGCAUUUUGAGGAUAAAUAAAUCUAAAACAAUCUAUUGAUUAUGAUGAAUGGAUGUCCAAUUUUUUUAUCCAUGAAGAAAAUAAUAACAUCUCGGCGACCAUCCAAGCUGUUGCUGAUCAGGUCAUCCAGUAAGUUAAACUGCUAAUAGAGAUAACUUCAAUUCAAUGUUGUUGCCAGAUAAUGCUGUGAGUGAAGAAACUGUAUCCUGCCAUCUACAUCAGAGCCACAUCUGUCAUUAUGGAUAAUAUUAUUGCUGCGUCCUAAGAUAUCAUAAUAAUGUAUUUAAUUUAUUAAAAUUCCCACGGGAACGGGAGUAAGCGGGAAAAAACAUUUGUAUGAAAAAAUCUAAACCGCGUAAGAUAGAUCAACGCACAGCCGAAACGGCUAAACAUAGGCACUUGAAAUUUGGAAGGGACGUAGCUUAGGUACCGUAGAGAUGCACUAAGAAAGGAAUCCCCGAAAUUCCCACGGGAACGGAAAUCAGCGGGAAAAAACAUUUGUAUGAAAAAAUCUAUACCGCGUAAGAUAGAUGAAGGGGGUAAAACGGGAUCCACGCGUACGAAGUCGCGGGCGGCCGCUAGUAUUCUUCUAAAAUUAUUAAUAUCCGAUCCGACUCCUUCCGUCUCCAGGCCAUAAGGCUCUGGAACUCUCUGCCUGAAGAGACCAGGCAAGCGUCUAGUUCAGCUUGCAAAUAAACCCAUCAAGCAGAGGCGGUACACACAAACAAAAGAUUCCGGCCCAGUGUAUGGUUUUUUCAACUAAAGUUUUUUGUUAUUUUUGCCUCAAGAAUGUACUUAUUGUGAAUUUCUUUGUUAAUGGCUGUAUAGUUUUACUUGAGUCAAAGAAAAUCGUAGUUUUUGUAUAAACAAAUAAUUUAUAAAUCUAUAUUAGGGUAAAUUUUAUUGUCGUCUUUUUUUUUCUUAGAAACUUGCAGUAGAUUAUUCACUUUUUGGAAACUGAUAAUAACUUGUUAAUACCAUAAUUUAUUAUGGAAAAUUGUACUGUUAAGUAGGUCUUUUGUUGAUGGCUGUAUAGUUUUACGCAAGUUAAAGAAAAUCGUAGUAUAUUUUUUUCUACACAAAUUUUACUUAUAAGGGGACAUAAUUGAUUGUUUGUUUGUUUAUAUUGAAGAGGCUCCGAAACUAAGUACUGGACUUUUUUUCGGAAAACAAUUUGAAAAAUUAUUUCACAAUUAGAAUCCUUCAUUUUCCCUAAUGAAGAUAGGCUAAAACCGGAUUUUUACUGGCGGUACGAAGUUCGCCGGGUCAGCUAGUUUCUUAUAAACAUGCAAAUACGGUAAAAAUGAUUCAUUUUGUUAAUGGCUGUCUAGUGUUACGCAAUUACAGGUAAUCAUCAUUUUUAUUGUAAACAGAAUUAGGUACCAUUUAUUUAUAAAUAGCUUUUGCCCGCGGCUUCACCCGCGUGAAAUUUAGUGCCACAGAUUGGCAUAAAUUAUACCCUAUUAUGUUAAUCUGGGUUACAAAUAAUAAUACUGUAAAGUUUCAACCAAAUCCGUUCAGUAAUUUUUGCGUGAAAGAGUAACAAACAUCCACACAAACUUUGACCUUUAUAAUAUUAGUAGGAUUUAUAGUCUGCGACAAUAGAAAUGUUCGCUCGCUUGUAAACAAUAAAUUAUUGCAAAAAGUUAAUAAUUAUAUUAUUCUGUUCUGUUGGCUUCAAUGGUGGGUACUUUUAAUUACAAAAAGUUAAACUCUCGGUAAAAUUGAUAUUUAGUAUGGAAAUGUAAUUUUAAACCAGUGUUCAUCCCAUUCAUAGAGGAGGUUUAAUUGUCGAAGGUUCAUCCUGGGCUUAAUUUCUUUUGUAAUAAUGGGUUUAAUGACUAAAAUUGACUCAAACAGAGAUAAAUUAACUAAGAAUCUUUAACAUUUACUUACUUGGCAAUUAAAGAUAGAUUUACUCAAAUUCUACUUCCUACUAAUAUUAUAAAUGCGAAAGUUUGUAUGGAUGUCUGGAAUCUGGAUGUUAAAUGUUUGUUAGUCUUUCACGAAAAAACUACUGAACGGAUUUUGAUGAAACUUUGCAGUAUUAUACUUUAAAACCCAAAGUAACUAACAUACAGGGUGGAAUUUUGUAAUGCCACUCGGAGGUAAAGUACUCUUAAUACUGUAGAUACAAAAUUGUAGUCAAAGAAAACAUUUCUUUA